UACGGAGGAUGCAAGCGUUACCCGGAAUGAUUGGGCGUAAAGGGUCCGCAGGUGGCAAUGUGUGUCUGCUGUCAAAGAAUGAGGCUUAACCUCAUCAAGGCAGUGGAAACUACAUAGCUAGAGUACGGUCGGGGUAGAAGGAAUUCCUGGUGUAGCGGUGAAAUGCGUAUAGAUCAGGAAGAACACCGGUGGCGAAAGCGUUCUGCUAGACCUGUACUGACACUGAGGGACGAAAGCUAGGGGAGCGAAUGGG
rnacentral:rRNA from 1 species